rnacentral:rRNA from 1 species
AUUGAACGCUGGCGGCAGGCCUAACACAUGCAAGUCGAACGAGUGGCGGACGGGUGAGUAAUGUCUGGGAAACUGCCUGAUGGUGGGGGAUAACUACUGGAAACGGUAGCUAAUACCGCAUACCAUCGGAUGUGCCCAGAUGGGAUUAGAUAGUAGGUGGGGUAAAGGAUCACCUAGGCGACGAUCCCUAGCUGGUCUGAGAGGAUGACCAGGCACACUGGAACGGAGACACGGUCCAGACUCCUAUGGGAGGCAGCGGUGGGGAGUAUUACACAAUGGGCGCAGGCCUAGUGCAGCCAUGCCGAGUGUGUGAAGAAGGCCAUCGGGUUGGAAAGCACUUUCAGCGAGGAGGCGUUACUCGCAGAAGAAGCACCGGCUAACUCCGUGCCAGCAGCCGCGGUAAUUC